UGGGGAAUAUUGCACAAUGGGCGCAAGCCUGAUGCAGCCAUGCCGCGUGUAUGAAGAAGGCCUUCGGGUUGUAAAGUACUUUCAGCGGGGAGGAAGGGAGUAAAGUUAAUACCUUUGCUCAUUGACGUUACCCGCAGAAGAAGCACCGGCUAACUCCGUGCCAGCAGCCGCGGUAAUACGGAGGGUGCAAGCGUUAAUCGGAAUUACUGGGCGUAAAGCGCACGCAGGCGGUUUGUUAAGUCAGAUGUGAAAUCCCCGGGCUCAACCUGGGAACUGCCUCUGAUACUGGCAAGCUUGAGGCUCGUAGAGAGGGGUAGAAUUCCAGGUGUAGCGGUGAAAUGCGUAGAGAUCUGGAGAAAUACCGGUGGCGAAGGCGGCCCCCUGGACUAAGACUGACGCUCAGGUGCGAAAGCGUGGGGAGCAACCAGG
rnacentral:rRNA from 1 species